UACGGGGGGGGCAAGCGUUGUUCGGAAUUACUGGGCGUAAAGGGCUCGUAGGCGGCCCACUAUGUCAGACGUGAAAUCCCUCGGCUUAACCGGGGAACUGCAUCUGAUACUGGAUGACUUGAGUUUGGGAGAGGGAUGCGGAAUUCCAGGUGUAGCGGUGAAAUGCGUAGAUAUCUGGAGGAACACCGGUGGCGAAGGCGGCAUCCUGGACCAACACUGACGCUGAGGAGCGAAAGCCAGGGGAGCAAACGGG
rnacentral:rRNA from 1 species